AGUGCGCCGGCGGGGGUGAAGGGGCGGCAGCGAGAGGGACAGCUUCGGUGACAGGCCUGGGGCGGGACCAGCGGACGUUCCGGGACGGAUUGGUCCAAGUCGUGCGUCCGGGCGCACGGCACGUUGGGAAGCGAGCAGCUGGAUUGGCUGCUUGCCUCGCAGAGGGGGCGGGCCUUUUGUUCCCGGACGCGACGAUUGGUCUUUCCAAAUGCCGGAAGCGACGAGGGGAACGGUCGAAAGCCGGGAUCCAGCGUCCACGGAGCGGGGAGAUGAGGUAUCGGCGGCGUUGGGUCUCAGCUCGGCAGCCUCGGCCCCUGGUCCGAGUCCCCCCGCCCGCGCGGCUUGAGGAGACCAGGCGGCGCGCGCUGGUGCGGGCGGACCGCGGCCGUCGCGCCCCUGCCCUGUGGUUAAGUGGAGGCGCGCGCGGUGCUCCGCGUGCGGCGGGUGCGGGCAGCGCGGGAAGCAAGGACCGCGCCCGCCUCGCAGGGCCACCGGGAGGACUGCGCGAGGAGUGUGCGCGGCCCUUGGCCGGGGCUCGGCACGUAGGAAACUGGAAGCGGUGGUCCCUCCGCAGCGGCUGCCUUCCAGGCUCCGAUUUCCCCGCUCCCAGCCAGUAACUUCCCUGGGUGAGCGGGGCGCCGUGGGCUGUCGAGCACCCUCGGGAUGAUGACCCAGGGGCCCGGUGGACACCUCAUUUAAUCUCUACACCCAACGUGGAGCUCAAACUCAUGACCCUGAGAUCAAGAAUUACAUGCUCUUCUGACUGAGCCAGCCAGGCACCCUCAAGUUCCCUUUUUAAGUGCAUAAAAUUCACAUAUCUUUGAUAAAGAAUAACCCUAAUGACAUUGGAAUUGCCAUGAUUGAGACCAGGGGUUCAGGGACCCCUGGAGGCCACCCAAGACCUUUCUGGGGGUCAGCAAAAGUCUGGCAGUUUGGAGGGCAUGGCUGCAGGCUGUCAGCAAAGGCAGCUAUUCUCAAGAAGGCAAUCCAGAGCCCUGGGGUCUGGAAGAUUGAGUUGAAUGUCACCAGACUGGAAGGUGUACCAGUUAACAAGGGAAGGAGGGAGAGAGGAGUGGUCCCACUGAGUCUGGGGAGAGGGUGAAAGGCUGUGUGCCAAGAUAGAGGAGCACCAGGCCUCAGCAGUUUGGAGCUAGCAGAUGGCCGCUGGGGCUGUCCUGCAUCACGUUAUGUACCUGCCUGGUGGUGAGAAGCAGAAACCUUUGGAGAUGAGCUUGCUGGAGGGGACGUCCAGGCCCAGGCGGCAGAAGCCCGGAGGAUGUCAGUCACUCAGCACUUUCCUGGAGCAGGCAGCCUGGGAAAGCUCACCCCUCCCUGCUUCACCAGCCUGCUCAGAGACGGAGACUGCGCUUUAUGGGUACACGUAUCUUUCAAAACAAUUAUACGGCACUGGGGACAGCAGAGAUGCCCAGUAUUAAAGGAAUUAGUCAAUGUUGUGCCCAAAACCCAGCUUUACUUUGCAACUUUAAAAAGUAUUCAGAAAAUAAAAGGACAGAAAUGCUACCAGAAAAGAAAGAAAAGAAAUGCUACAGGGCUGCUGCUGUGUUUCAGUGUUGAAUACUGUGUCCCCUUCCAGUGACCCUGUAGGUGGCACCCACACUGUCCAGCAAGGCUGGCUUCUUGGCACCUGCUAACCGCAGAGCUCCCAGGCGAAUGUUUGAGUCCCUCCCUUCUGCCUGGAGACAGGUUACGCCCACAGUCUAUGGGCUCUGGGUCACUGUGUUUAUUCUGCUCAAGAAACUGUAACCUUGGGGCAUCUGGGGGGCUUGGUUAAGCAUCCGGCUCUUGGCUUUGGCUCAGGUCAUGAUCUCACAGGUUGUGGGUUCGAGCGAGCCCCACAUUGUGCUCUGUUCUGACAGCAUAGAGCCUGCUUGGGAUUCUCUCUCUUCCUCUCUCUCUUUGCCCCUACCCUGCUCACUCUCUCUCAAAAUAGAUAAACUUUUAAAAAGGAUAUUUAAAAAAAAAUAAUAAUAGUAAAAAUAAUAGAGUCCCUUUCUCUGUGAAGUCGGCCCCGGCCACCCCAUCUCACGCUUUGUCUCUGCGACCACUUACAAUCUCACGGACCACGUGCUUUGCUGACGUGGCUGACUUUUGUUUCUCACUAGAACAGAAGCUCAGUGAGGACAAGCAUCUGUCCACUGCUGUGUCCCUAGCGCCUAGGUCGUGGCCACAAAAACACGCGGGAAUGAGCCAGCAGUCUCUGAGAACCAGGCGUUAGAAGGUCUCAGUGAAUAAAGGCAAGGUUUUCCUUAGCGGGAGGCACACAAGGGAGGGACGUCUGGGAACACUGGUCUGUCGCUGUGUCUCUCCCUGUUACACUGCGGCUGUCCGAGUUCAGUGUGCCUCACAGCAACUUCUACAGAAGUAGGUCCACCGUUGAUUUGCUGAAAAGCCAUGAUGGCCAUAGACCUCUAGGAUCUAGCACCAGCAAGCUGGUGAACACUCGGUGCCUUAAUGGAAGGGCACAGAGACCUAGGACCGUCCUUGUUCAGGGGAAGAGCAUGCUCUGUCCAACCCCGCGAAAAGGAGUCGCUCGGCUGCCCGCUGCUGACUGUGGGUCAGGGAGCGGAGGCACAGCGGACCUGGUCACUGGCUACAUCCUAGACCAGCAAGCAGAGGACCCUGUUGGCUACAGGGCACAUUCAACUGCAAGCGGUCUGGGGGACCAUGUACAAAAAGUGAAUGCCUUCUUCCUUCAAAUGUCUUCUCAUUCCCCGAAACAAGUGACCCCUGGGGCCAGGGAGAUAGCAAGCUAGUGACUGCCAGGAAUAGCUAUAAACCAGACAUCCAGACAUGGUCCCUCUCUGCUGGUAGCUGAACCCAGAUGAGACUUCUGAGCCCACACUGGGGGGUUAUGGAGGGAGGGACCCCGGGCCUCUGGCCAGUGACGACUCCCCAGUAGCUAGUGAACCUGGACAGGCAAACCCCAACUUGGACCAACAACACCCCAAAAACCCAACAUAAACUUGCAUCUAAAGAAACGGGGCGGCUCGUGAUGAGGAGACGAGGCAGGGGGGUCCCACCCGCAGUGACUGGAUCUAGGGCAAACCAGGUUGCCCCACGCCUCACCUGCAGCCUUUGCUCCUUUACACGUGGGCCUCCUUCUCUCCAACCACGGUUGGCUUUCUCUACAGGGUGGGAAAGGGGGGAGCGGCCUGCUCGGUCCAUCUUCUCCAUGACCCCAAAGGCAGUCCCUUCAUCUUCAAACAGGAGCUCUAAGGAAGGACGCCAUUGGCUGACUUUGCAUUCCUGAACCAAUCAUCGCAUGGAUAAAUGCAGCCCUAGGAAGGGCUGGGGUCGUGUGACCCAGGGGAUCAGGAUCCGAGGGGUGGAUGUUGCUGAACAGACGUGAACAACAGACACCUUCUGUAAUCAUCACUGUGGUCAGUGGGCUCUCAGGAGACCCUCGAUGACACCCACCCCCUGGAAUUCACACCCUGGGGCCGUCCCUGCCACACGCUCCACGUGGUGAAGAGCUCAGGUCUCCUGCCAACAGCCAGGUGAGGGCGCCCCCCUGGAGAGCCACCCUCCAGCAUCAGGAAAGCUUCACCUGGACCGCACCCUUGGACAAGGAGGACAGAUGGGGAGCAGCUUGCCUGAAGCAGGAACUUGAGAGCCCAGGACCCCCACCAGCCAAGGAACAGCUGCAGGGGUGGGAGCAGCAGAGGUCCUCUCUGCUCCCUCCUUCCACACCCCCCACCAAGGGUCGCCUGGCUUACAAACACACCUGGUGUUGGAGUGGCAAUGCAGGAAUCUAGGACACGGGACUGCAACCUGUUCACCGUGAGGUUGCCUCCGCCAGUUAAGGGAAGCCGCGUCCUGAUGGACACUGAGUGCACAGAGCCGAGGAAGGACAGUUGAGUAAACAGAGGUUAAGAGGUACAGACAGGGGGCACCUGGGAGCUCAGUCGGUUGAGCAUCCGAGUCUCAGGUCAUGGUCUCAUGGUUCGUGGGUUUGAACCCCACGAGCCUGCUUGAGAUUUUGUCUCCCUUUCUCUCUCGGCCCCUCCCCUGCUUGCUUUCUCAAAAAUAAAUGAAUAAACAUUUUGAAUAAAUGAAUCGAUAA